GGCCUGUGAUGUUAGAUAAUAUUUGCUACUCUUGAUUGGAAACCUGUUUUUGUUUUCGAUCUGAUGAACUUUUUUCCACCAAGAUCUCUGAGGCC
rnacentral:snoRNA from 1 species